rnacentral:rRNA from 1 species
UACGGAGGAUCCAAGCGUUAUCCGGAUUUAUUGGGUUUAAAGGGUGCGUAGGCGGCCUGUUAAGUCAGGGGUGAAAGACGGUAGCUCAACUAUCGCAGUGCCCUUGAUACUGAUGGGCUUGAAUGGACUAGAGGUAGGCGGAAUGAGACAAGUAGCGGUGAAAUGCAUAGAUAUGUCUCAGAACACCGAUUGCGAAGGCAGCUUACUAUGGUCUUAUUGACGCUGAGGCACGAAAGCGUGGGAAUCAAACAGG